CGGCCGCGCAGAGGCGGGUGCGUGUGAGACGCAGGAAGGGGCAGGGCUGAGGGGAAGGGGCAAGGCCUGAGGAGUGGGCGGGCCUCGAGGGAAGGGGCGAGGCCUGGGGCGGACGGGGGCGGGGCUUACCGAGGGGCAGGGUUUGUUGUGAGGGGGCGGGGUCUGCAGGGAAUCGGGGCGGGGCUUAGGACGCAGAGCGGUUAGACACCGCCUGGUUAUGCAAAUUAGGGGUGGGGCUUAUCGGCGUCGGGUCCGCCCCCGGCUUGGUCCCAGCGCCCCAGUGCCCGCACCCGCGGGCGCCGCUCCCUCAGCGAGGCCGCUCCGGACCGGCGGUCCGAGCCGCGUUCUGAGGCAAGACACGUCCUGUGCAGCUACAGCGCUUUCCACCAGCGGCAGAAGUUCAGCUUUUGGCUCUCUGCAGGCACCGAGCGCUAUUUACUUCUUUCCUCUGUAGAUAAUUUAUCUACUGAAGGCUGUUAUGUCUCCCUUCUCUGUAUGGAAUGUCCAUCUUUUCCUGUAGGUUGUGUCCUUGCUCUCUUCUGGGCUUUCUUCCAGACACUCCACACCUCGAAGGAUACUGCCCAAAACUGGGGGCAAUCCUCCAGCUUGGUCAGCAGAACUCACACAAGGAUUUCAUCAUGUCUUACUGGUAAUCCUACCCAUCUCCAGCCUCCUGCUGUGCUGCCUGGAAUAUAAACCAACCUGUGCUUGAUGCAGAUGAAAUAAAAAUGUGGAAAGAUCCCCAGAUCCAUCUACCAUCCUCCUACCACAGUCUGGGCACCUGCAGGGGUCUGGAGCCUGUAGGUGAGCUCCUCAAGUGCUUUGGUGUCCUCAGGUCCAUGAAGUGUGACCCUGCUGCAGCAAGUCAAGGCAGCUGUGGCACUGGGUGCUCUUGAGCUGUGGCUGAUGUCACCUGUGACUGUCUUCCAGCCAUACAUCAUCUGUUGUGUCCAAAAGUUGUCCCCACCCACUGUCCAAGCCCUUCUCAGAGAGAGGGUUUGCCUCCUCCUGUAUUCCUUUUCCAGCACAUGUCUGCUGAGCUGUGGCUUUUUGGAGAUCCCAGUAAAACAAAGAGCUCCAAAUGUU